UAUUUUCUAUUGUUUGAGGAAAACAUACCGUUCAAUUGAGGAACCCAACCGAGGAAAUAGUGAAAUCUCGAGAUGCUAGCUCUGCAACUAAGCAAGAGACUGUCUCGAUCUCCUUCUUCUUCUGCUACUUUCUAUAGAACCCUAGCAGCACUCACGCAAUCCUCUUCGCAUUCACCAUCUGACUUGCUAUCUUCAGUCAGCCACUACAUCAACGGGUCCGGCAAUCUCGACGCUUCUCCAUGGUCCACUGUUCAGUCUCGCGGCAUCAAAGUUACUGCCAUUCAUUUAAAACCUGGCAAUGUCAUUGAGAGAAAAGGAAAAAUUUACGAGGUGCUGGAAGCAGAGCAUAAACAGCGGGGAAGAGGAGGAGCAAUGAUGCAGGUGGAGCUUCGUAACAUAGACGGUGGAAAUAAGGAAAGUUUACGGUUUGGUACAGAGGAAGCUGUUGAAAAGGUAUUUGUCCAGGAGAAGUCCUUCACAUGUUUAUAUGUAGAACGCGGAACAGCAUAUCUAAUGGACCCUGAAAAAUUUGAGCAACUUGAAGUGCCAACUGAGUUGUUUGGUGAGGCUGCUGCAUAUCUGAAAGAGGAAAUGAAAGUUUCGUUGCAGUUAUAUGAUGAAAGACCUUUGUCUGGGUCAAUUCCAAAGCAUGUUACUUGUGCCAUAAAAGAGACUCAACCACAUGUGAAGGGGCUUUCAGCUACACCUCGGUAUAAGAAGGCUCUGCUGGACAACUAUGUCACCAUUCUGCAGAUUAACUUGCCAAUUCGUGGUCCGUAACCAAGAAUGUGGAUUACGAUUUUAAUCAUUAGUAUCAAUCUGAAGCGACUUAGAAUAUCCGACACAUUGAUGCUAGAGGAAAUUUUUUAUCCAUAAAUAAAAUGAUGGGAGAUUACAGUAGUUCAUUACUUUAUAUCAGAGGGGAGCCAGGGUGAAUUUUAAUACUCUUUCCAUUCUAUAAAUGUACCUCCUUUUCUAGAGACUGGUGAAGAAAUUGUUGUCAAUACUGUUGAUAACUCCUACAUUAAAAGGGUCAACAAAUAAUAAUGGUGAGAGGUAGGAAUUGCAAAAUACAUGAUUUGAUCGAGCAAGAAGCUGGAGCUAGACUAGGAAACAGUGAAGUUAUGGAACAUGAUAUUGAAGUUUUGAAUUUUUGGUAGCUAGAGCUAGACUAGUUUUGAGUUGUUCUUGGCCUUGUAUGGAUAUUAAUUUGGUACCACUAUUUUAUUGACGAGAAAAGGACAAAUAAAGUGUGUAUUGAUCUUACAGGGAAAUGGAGACGAGAAUUGCGCUCCAUCUCUCCUUUUCCCUUCUCCCUCCCCUGUUUCUAAUAUUAUUGAUAAGGGGAAAUAAGAAUCGAUUUUUUUUUUUUUCUCUUUUUGGCAGAAAAUCAAUAAAAAAAAUGCUUUUGCGUUCAAAA